CAGCCUCCCGGUAGCUAGGACUACAGGCACCCACCACCACGCACUGCUAAUAUUUUGUAUUUUUAGUAGAGACGGGGUUUCACAGUGUUAGCCAGGAUGGUCUGUAGUUUCUCUUUUUUUAUAGCUAAGUAUUACAGAAUACAGUUAUCAUCUGAGGACCAGGCUAUCAGAAAACAAGGAACCAUAUCCAGCCCUGAUGGAAGGACUGAGCAUCAUGUGGAGAUCCUGAACUCUGAUGAAGAUGUCGUGAUUGGGUGUGACUUUGAGUUGUCUUCAUAGAUACAUAAUCAGUAAGAAACAAUAGAGAGAUCCUGGGCACCAUUUAUGCCGUUUUCCUCAAUAACAUCUUGCAAAACUGUGGAACCAUAGUCCAACCAGAGUAUUGACAUUGAUAGAACCAACAUACAGAAUGUUUCAAUCACCAUAAGGAUCCCUCAGGUUGCCUUUUUAUAUCCCCAACUCCUAUCUCUGACCCAUAACCCCUCACCCCUAACAACCACUAAUCUGUUCAUUUCUAUACUUUUGUCAGUUCAAAAUGUUAUACAAAUGGAAUUACAUAGUAUGUAAUCUUUUGUGAUUGGCUUUUUCUGAUGCAGCGUAAUUCUCCAAAGAUUCAUUCAGGUUGUUCUGUAUAUUAAUAGUGUUUUCCUUGAGAUUUUCUAGGUAGACAAUCAGCUUUUUCAAAUAAAAUUUAAUUUCUUCUUUUACCUGUCUUUUAUUUCCCUUUAUUGCCUAAUUGCACUUCAUAGAACUUUGAGCACUAUGUUGAAUAAGCGUCAUUAGGGAUGAUACCCUCACCUUAUUCUCAAGCUCAGGAAGAAAACAUUCAAUCAUUCAGCAUUAAGAAUUAUGUUAGCUGAAAGUUUCUUGUAGGUGUCCUUUAAUUCCUAUUUUUCAGAGCAUUUUUACAUAAAUGAGUGUUGAAUUUUGUCAAAUCCUUUUUCUGCAUUAAUUUUAUGACAUUUCUUCAUUAGCUAUUAAUAUUUGCACUACAUCGAUUGAUUUUUAAAUAUUGAGCCAGUCUUCCAUUCUUGGAUUAAGUCUUACUGGGUUGUGGUAUAUAAUUCUCAUGUAUUACUGAAUUCUAUGUCAUAUUGUGAAGCAUUUUUUGUGUCUAUGUUCAUGAGAUAUUGGUCUGUGGUUUUUUGUUAUGCUGUUAUUCAUUACCCAAGUAUUUUUAUCAUUUUUAUUUUGAAAUUUAAUAUGCAGGGGUCUAUAAUUUUAUCAAUUUGCAGUAUACAUUUCAGUAUCAGGGUAUUUACUAGCUCCUUAAAAUGAAUUAGAAAAUACCCCCUUCUAUUUUCUCAAAGAGACUGUAUAGAAUUGCUGUCAAAUCUUUAUGAAUGUGGUGGAAUUCUGAAGGAAACAAUUUGGCUCUGGAGGCUUUCUUUUUAGGAAUUUUUAAAUAAUGAGUUUAAUUAAUUUUUUUUUAGUACUUAUAAGGCUAUUCAAAUAAUCUAUUUUAUAUUGGGUAAGCUGUAGUAGUUUGUGUUUUCUAGGGAAAUGAUCUAUUUUGUCUAAAUUGUCAGAUUAAUGUGUGUACAGUUCAUAGUAUCUACUUAUCCUUUUGAUGUUUGCAGUAUUGAUAGCGAUAUCCCAUUUCAUCUCUGGUAUAGGUAAGUCCUUUUUUUUUUUUUUUUGACGGUCUUGCUUGAGGUUUAUCAAUUAAUUGAUCUUUUCUAAUAACCAGCUCUUUGUUUUAUUCUUUAAAGUGUUUAUCUGUUUUCAAUUUCAUUGAGUUCUACUCUUUGUUAUUGCAUCUUUCUGCUGGCAUUGGGUCUAUUUUUCCUUCUUUUUUUAGGUUUUUGAGGUGGAAGCUUAGGUUACUGGUUGAAGACUUUUCUUUUCUAGAGCAUGCAUUUAGUGCUAUAUAUUUUCCCAUCAGUUCUGCUUUAUGUGUCUCACAAAUUUUAUGUUGUUUUCAUUUUCAUUCAGUUCAGUGCAUUUUUAAAAUUUCUUUUGAGAUUUCCUCUAUGACCAUGGGUUAUAAAAUAUUGUUGUUCAGUUUUCAAGUGUUUGGUGAUUUUCCCAUUAUCAUUGUUAUUUAUUUCUAGUUUGGUUCUUUUGUGGUUGGAGAAAGUACUUGUAGUAUUUCAGUUCUUUUAAAUUUGUUGAGGCUUGUUUUAUGCUCAGGGUCUAUCUUUAUAUGUGUGUUCUGUGAGCACUUGAAGAACAUGUAUUCUGCUGUUGGAAUGUUCUAUAAAUAUCAACUAGAUCCUAUUGUCUCAUGUUGUUGAGUUCUUUUAUAUUCUUACUGGUUUUCUGUCCAGUUCUAUCAAUUGUUGAGUGAGGGGUGAUAAAGGCCCCAACUAUAAUGAAUGGAUUUAUCUGUUUCUCCUUUUAGAUCUAUCAGUUUCACUUCAUAUAUUUUCCAGCUUUGUUGUUUGCUUCAUGCACAUUUAUGAUUGCUAUGUUCUUUUGGUAAAUCGACUAUUUCAUUAUAUAAUGUCCCUCUCUGAUAAUUUCCUUAGUUCUGAAGCUGACUUUAAUGUUAUUAAUAUGGCCAUUCCUGCUCUUUUUGAUGGUUUACAUAAUACACUAUUUUAUUCCUUUUGAUUUCAACCUGACGAUGGCAUUAUCUUCAAAGUGAGUUUAUGAUAAACAGCAUAUAGUGUGUCAUGUUUUUAAAUUCACUCCGUCAAUCUUUAUAUUUUAACUGGUUUUUCUAGUAAUCACAUUAGACACAUAAUUUAUCAUAGUCUAUUGGUAUGUCAUAUUAGUGGUUAUCUCAUGUUCCUUUACUCCCCUCAUUUAUAACAUCACUGUCUUAAAUCUUUCCUCUACAUAUACAUCAGAUAAUGUUAUGAUUUUUGCUUCAAUCAUAAGUCAUAAUUUAGAAAAUUCAAGAGGAGAAAUUAAACUUAGUGUACUGACCUACAUUUUGCUUGCCAUAUUCAUUGUUUCUAACUGAAAUUUCAAGAUUCCUUAUCAAUUUCCUUCGUGUUUGGAGAAUGUUAGCCAUUCUUUUAGGGAGAUAAGCUGACAAUAAAUUCUUAAUUUAAAAAAAGUCUGUGCGUGUCCUGAUUUCCCCUUUAUUCCUGAAAGAUAUUUUCACUGAGUAGAGCAUUUUGUAUUGACAGUUGAUUUAUUUCAGCACUUGAAAAAUAUCUGUUACUUCCUCAUGGUCCCCACAGUUUCUGAUGAGAAAUCUUCUGUUGUUCAAAUUGCUUUUACCAUAUAGAAAGUGUGUCAUUUUUUUCUUGCUGCUUUCCAGAUUUUUCUUUUUCUUCCUUAAUCAGAAGUUUAAUUACUAUGUUUCUUGGUGUGAGUGUCCUUGAUUUAUCCUGUUUAAGGUUUACCCAGCUUCUCAAAUUGUAGGUUUAAAUCUUUGCAAAAUGUGAGAAGUUUUUAAGCCAUUAUUUAAGUACUUUUUCAUUCUUUUCUCUUUCCUGGAAUCCAAUGACAUAAAUAUUUGCUCUUUAGCACAGGGUCUUGUUCAUUUUUUCUAGUCUAUUCUAAUUUCCUGUAAACUACUUCUUUCCUCAGUCUUUUCCAUUCUGUUGUUGAGUCCAUCCACGGAGCUUUGCAUUUCAGUUAUGGUAUCUUUUAGUUCUAUAAUUUCUCUUUGAUUCUUAUUUAUAUAUUUUAUUUCUUAGCUUUAUAGCACUUUUUCAUUUGUCUCAAGCAUGUUUAUAAUCACUUGCAGUAGCACUUUUAUUAUAGCUGCUUUAAAAUCUUUGUUAGAUGAUUCUAACAACUUUGUUAUCUCAGUGUUAGCAUCUAUUAAUUGUCUUUUUUUCAUUUAGUUUGAGAUCUUGUCCAUUGAUAUCAAGUAACUUUUGACUGAAUCUUUGACAUUUUGUAAUAUGAGACUCUGGUUAUUAUAUAAAGCUUCAGCCUGGAGUGAUGACUCAUACCUGUAAUCCCAGCCCUCCAGGAGGUCAAGGUGGGAGGAUCACUUGAGCCCAGGAGUUCCAGACCAGCCUGGGCAACACAGGAAGACCCCAUCUCUAGAAAAAAUGUUAAUGUUAGCUAUGUGUGGUGGUGCACAUCUGUGGUCUCAGCUACUCAAGAGGCUGAGGUGGGAGGAUUGCUUGAGCCCAGGAGGUUGAGGCUGCAGUGAGACCUGAUGAGGCCACUGUACUCCAGCGUGGGUGACAGAAUAAGACCCUGUCUCCAAAAAUAUGUAUAAAGAAAGAAAGAAAUAAGCUUUUACUUCAGCUGGCUUUUUUUUUUGACAUUGCUCAGCAGGGAAAAGUGAGGCCCUACUUUAUUACUGCCAGAGAGAGGUAGAAGUUUAGGUUGCCCUUUGGCCUUCCUGUAGAGGGGGGUCUACUCAUUACUUCUGGGCAGGGUACAAGUCCUGGUCCUCACAUGGUCUCCACUAACACCGUGGUGGGGGUGGCCUCCCUACUGAGGAGUAAUGCCAAACAUUCUGACUCUGCAUGGAGCUUCUUUGACACCAGAGAGUAAAGAAGGGAAGGAAUACCUCAUUAAUGCUGGGUAGGUGUUGAAAUCUAGGCUUUCCAUGUGGUCUCUCUGAAAAUAGCAGGUACGGACUCUUUACUUCUGGAGGGGAAUCAACAUUACAGCUCCUUAUUUAGCCUUCUGUGACACUAUCCCAGCAGGGGUAUUGGAGUAGCUUGUCGCAACCUCUUGAGGUGAAAGUCUGGACUUUCCACUUAGUUUUUACUGAUGUGGAUUGGGUGAUGGCUCACUUUACUUUUUUUGGUAGUGUUUGGCUGGGGUAGGUUGUCUGAAGGUUUUCUGUCUUGCUGGGCUGCCCUACUGUAGUCCUUUGGCUAGAGAGAGCAGACUUUUAUUGGGGCUGGUUUUUGGUCUACGUAUAUUGACAUUUUGGGGUCGUUACCUUCUUCAGCUCUAGAGUGGGAAAGCACAGAAAGCAGAAAAGCACUGCAGUGUGGUCCAGAACCUGUCCCUCCCAUUGAAAGCUGCAGCUUCUAAUCUUUUGACCAUGAAGACUCUUGUUUAUUGUCCUUUCUGCUUUGGUAUCUGUGCAUUUCUGUUGAAUUUGUGAGCAGUUCUCUAACACCAUUGGCAGUGGAAUACUUUUCCAUUGUGCUUUCUAACUGAUUAUGAGAUAUGAGAUAUUAUGGGAUAUGAGACAAAAAAAAAUCACAAAUGUAACUCACCACCAUAUUAUUCCUUACAUUGUGAAGUCUGUAGCUUACUUGCCUUCUCUUCAUCUUUCAGAGACUCCUUCU
rnacentral:lncRNA from 10 species